CUCGACUCCUGGAGGGAAGAGUGGUAACUACUGGUUUGGGACAGACAUUGAAAGAGCUCCUCCACAUCGUGGAAACAUGACAGAAGUGUAACCCAGGCUGUGACAAGGUUAAUAAGCCAGCAUUCAUCAACUUCACUGGGGGCACGAAUCUAAACCAGUGGGGAGAAAAUAAUUCCAAAAGUGAGCGCAACAUGAGCCAGUCAACACAACACUGAGGUGGGGUCACGAGCUGUCUGCUUCUUGCUGUCUUUGCCAAGGACAUCUGAUAGCAUGGCAUACUGGAGCUGGGAGUAUCAGUUUGGCCAUUACCUCAUUGCUAAACAGAUGCUACGAAUCCUGAUCAUACACCUUUGCACACUAGAAGUUAGAACCAAAUGCUUUCUUCUCACUGAAGCAAACUGAGGAAGGAGGUGCAAUUUGAAUUUCACUCUGAAAUAAAAAUUUAUGAAUUCUCA
rnacentral:lncRNA from 1 species